rnacentral:rRNA from 1 species
AGUGAACGCUGGCGGUAGGCCUAGCACAUGCAAGUCGAACGGCAGCACAGUAAGAGCCUGCUCUUACGGGUGGCGAGUGGCGGACGGGUGAGGAAUGCAUCGGAAUCUACUUUUUCGUGGGGGAUAACGUAGGGAAACUUACGCUAAUACCGCAUACGACCUACGGGUGAAAGCAGGGGAUCUUCGGACCUUGCGCGAUUGAAUGAGCCGAUGUCGGAUUAGCUAGUUGGCGGGGUAAAGGCCCACCAAGGCGACGAUCCGUAGCUGGUCUGAGAGGAUGAUCAGCCACACUGGAACUGAGACACGGUCCAGACUCCUACGGGAGGCAGCAGUGGGGAAUAUUGGACAAUGGGCGCAAGCCUGAUCCAGCCAUACCGCGUGGGUGAAGAAGGCCUUCGGGUUGUAAAGCCCUUUUGUUGGGAAAGAAAAGCAGCAGGUUAAUACCCCGCUGUUCUGACGGUACCCAAAGAAUAAGCACCGGCUAACUUCGUG